rnacentral:rRNA from 1 species
UACGGGGGGGGUAAGCGUUGUUCGGAAUUACUGGGCGUAAAGGGCUCGUAGGCGGCCAACUAAGUCAGACGUGAAAUCCCUCAGCUUAACUGGGGAACUGCGUCUGAUACUGGAUGGCUUGGAUUCGGGAGAGGAAUGCGGAAUUCCAGGUGUAGCGGUGAAAUGCGUAGAUAUCAGGAAGAACACCAACGGCGAAGGCAGCUCGCUGGGACGGUACUGACGCUGAGACGCGAAAGCGUGGGGAGCGAACAGG